AUUGAACGCUGGCGGCAGGCUUAACACAUGCAAGUCGAGCGGAGAUGAGGUGCUUGCACCUUAUCUUAGCGGCGGACGGGUGGGUAAUGCUUAGGAAUCUGCCUAUUAGUGGGGGACAACAUUCCGAAAGGAAUGCUAAUACCGCAUACGUCCUACGGGAGAAAGCAGGGGACCUUCGGGCCUUGCGCUAAUAGAUGAGCCUAAGUCGGAUUGGCUAGUUGGUGGGGUAAAGGCCUACCAAGGCGACGAUCUGUAGCGGGUCUGAGAGGAUGAUCCACCACACUUGGACUGCGACACGGCCCAGACUCCUACGGGAGGCAGCAGUGGGGAAUAUUGGACAAGGGGCAGAAGCCUGAUCUAGACAUGCCGCGUGUGUGAAGAAGGCCUUUUGGUUGUAAAGCACUUUAAGCGAGGAGGAGGCUACUUAGAUUAAUACUCUAGGCUAGUGGACGUUACUCGCAGAAUAAGCACCGGCUAACUCUGUGCCAGCCGCCGCAGUAAGAC
rnacentral:rRNA from 1 species